GCCCUGCCCCGCGCCGCCCGGCCCGCCUGGCGCUGCAGCCGCUCGGCGCUGUGGCCGGGCCGCGGCCGCGGGGGAGGGGGCCGCGGGCGCGGUAUCGGAAAGUAUUUAAAAGGUAAAACACAUCAGCACUGUUAGCGUUCGGCCUGAUCUCUGAAAUGGUGGUUCACAAUUGGCAUUAUGGUUGUACUGUGGACGUGGUCAGUGGUAGGCGCCGGGCGUGUGCCAGUCACCUGAGGUGGACUCUGCUCUGGUGAACCCCCCUCUGAAAGAAAAGACUAAAAACCAAGGCUCCUGUUCCAGCAGCAAUGAGGCACUACCUACAGUCUACCCUGUGAGUGCCAAUACCUGAAGACCCAGUCAGUGUGACACCUGGAAAAGAUCCCUUCCUGUUGUUCUACUGCACAAGAAGAAGAGCUUAGUCCACAGCAGUCCUGUGUGGGUAUGGUUGGAGGGGGAGGGCAGAAGAGGGACUCCUGAAGCCACUGAAGGAAGGAAAUCAUUACAGGGUUCUACAGAAGUAGGUCAUGUGCUACAGCUGCUCAUAGUUUAAGAGGAAGAAACAUGGGACCUCAAACAUGGAACAUGACUCCUUCAAAAUGCUUGAGAGCAACCCAAGAAAAACAUCCUCAGAGGCUUAUUUAAUAAACAUUAUCUAUAAUAGUC